rnacentral:misc_RNA from 1 species
GAUGAAGAACGCAGCGAAAUGCGAUAAGUAAUGUGAAUUGCAGAAUUCAGUGAAUCAUCGAAUCUUUGAACGCACAUUGCGCCCCCUGGUAUUCCGGGGGGCAUGCCUGUCCGAGCGUCAUUACAACCCUCAAGCUCAGCUUGGUGUUGGGCCCCGCCGCCCCGGCGGGCCCUAAAGUCAGUGGCGGUGCCGUCCGGCUCCGAGCGUAGUAAUUCUUCUCGCUCUGGAGGUCCGGUCGUGUGCUCGCCAGCAACCCCAAAUUUUUUUCAGGUUGACCUCGGAUCAGGUAGGGAUACCCGCUGAACUUAAGCAUAUCAAUAAGCGGAGGA